AAGCAGGACUUAGACUACAAUAUAGCUGUCAGGUGCUGUGUUGUCAUUUCCCCUGCUCAAAAUAAAGUUGUUUCUUAACUCUACCUGUCUGCUAUACUCUUAGCAGCCAGGGAUGCUUGGUCUCAUACAU
rnacentral:snoRNA from 1 species